GUCAGUUUUGGAGAUGCUCAAUAAGUUUAUGUGAUCUCUAUUGGCUUUUCUGAUAUUUUGUUGGCCUUGCAGUGUGCUGUAUGUAUGGCCUAUUGGUGCUUGCAUCAAUGUCGUCUUCAUGUUUUUGGGGUGAAAUCAUUGUUCCUUGAGAAGUACGAAGGAAAGAACCCCAGUUGGGUAAUGUUGGGGAACUUAAGAAGAAUGCCGGAGUGAUAUGUAUAAAACUGAUGGACUAGAUGGGAUAAGGAAGGUGGCUCGGUGAAAACGAGCAAGGAAUUGUUUCUUGAGCGAAAGCAAAGUUGCUGCUGAAGCGUUUGGGUAUGUUGUACACGAAUUUAAUAAGAACCUUAAGAUGAUGAUCUAACGGCUAAUUAGUUGCGCGCUAGUUUCAGAAAAUAAUAUUCUUUCCAUCAGUAGAGUAAAAUGAGUAUACAGUGGAUAGUUUAUUAAAGGGAAAAAAAUUUCUUUGUUUAAUUU